rnacentral:rRNA from 1 species
UACGUAGGUGGCAAGCGUUGUCCGGAUUUAUUGGGCGUAAAGCGAGCGCAGGCGGUUCCUUAAGUCUGAUGUGAAAGCCCACGGCUCAACCGUGGAAGGUCAUUGGAAACUGGGGAACUUGAGUGCAGAAGAGGAGAGUGGAAUUCCAUGUGUAGCGGUGAAAUGCGUAGAUAUAUGGAGGAACACCAGUGGCGAAGGCGACUCUUUGGUCUAUUACUGACGCUGAGGUACGAAAGCAUGGGUAGCAAACAGGAUUAGAUA